rnacentral:tRNA from 1 species
ACCUCUGUAGCUCAGGGGAUAGAGCGUGGUAGUGACUCAACGCAAGGUCGCGGGUUCGAAUCCCGUCAGAGGUG